rnacentral:lncRNA from 1 species
CGACCAUCAAACGCCCACCCUCCGAUGACUCGUAUGUAAGGGGGUAAGAAUAGAAAUUUAUUUAAACUUUUGGCAUAAUCUAAAAUUUUUUAAGUUGUCCACGUUUGAAUCUUUAGACAUGCACGUGUAUUCUCGCUAAAUUUAUGAUAUGUAUUACGAUGGUAUAGGUAUAAAAUGUUAUUCUUGGUAUUCGUAUGUGAUGAGUAGCUUAAUAUUAAUUUUUAGGAAAUGGCGCCACCUACCCACACGAAUUUGAUGCGUGAUUUACAUCGAGCUGUACAAAAGUUAUGCUUUAUUAUGUAUGUUUUAUUUAUUUUUUAGUUGAGCAAAAACUUAGGUUGCGAUGUUCGAUAUUUUAUUAAAUUAUUGAAUGAAAAUUGUUUUAGUAACGAUUUAAAUAUUUAAAAUUUGUGUCAUUACACAAAAUGUAAGUGGGGGUUAUUUGAUUACAUCAUUUGUUCGUAAAUUCAUUAUAUAAGUUGUUAUGUAUAUAUACCCUAAUUGUAUAUUUUGGUGAUAAAGUCUUAUUACAUGUACAUCAAGCUUGACAUCAUAUGUGUUGACUUUGUACAUUGAUUUUAGGACCAUUCUUGGUGUACAUUAUGGACACCAUAGUGUCCAUAAUCCCGAGGUGGCGCCUCCCCAUUGGAGGAGGCGCCGGGCCCACAAGAACCUCUUCCAAUGGAGAGGUGCCACCUCGGCAUUAUGGACACCAUUAUGGUGUCCGUAAUGUACAUUUAGAUAAAUCCUUGAUUUUAACAACAUUUUUUUCCAAUUAAUGGGCAGAUUUUCUACACAUGGAGGUGUUUCAUCGAAGAUGUCAAGGAGUAAUGUACAAAUAGAUUUAACUCUUGAGGAAAAAAUUGUAUGCUUUGCUUGAAGAUAAAUUAUAAUCAGAACUAGAGAUGCAACAAAAUGUAAAUUUUCAAGUACAAAAUAUUUUUUUAAUCGAUUGAGAACCACACUCAACUAUUUUCUUGAAUGCUAUGUGUAAACUCUUCAACUCUUACAAGUGAAGUCAAUUUUGAUAUCAGAUUUGAGGCUCCGUGAGUCCAUUAUAGUCUCAUAUUUUCCUUUUUUAGAAGAAGGUGUAUCUAUGGUUACAUGUGCGUAUAUUCUAUACUCUUGAUGAAUGUGUAACCUGAACACAUCUUGUGUACUAUGUUCGUUUUUAUCUUUUCUCUUUUAAAAUGCACUUUCCAGUCCUAUGUGAAGCUAGUGAGGUCAUUGUCCAUGUAAAAAAAUUACUUCCCUACAUUUCUUUUAAAACUAGAAACAGAAGUUUAUGUUCUCCAAUAACGCAGAAGUUUAACCAAUUUACUUGCACUAAUAAUGAUCUUACUGUCAGCAUACAGAGGCAUAAGUACACUUAUUAAUUAAAAAGGAAUGCUCUUUAGUUGACCAAAAAAUUUACAUAAGGAAUGCUCUUUAGUUGACCAAAAAAUUAGGUCAAAGACCGAUUUAUAGAAGAGAACAAUGGUCUUUCCAUAUUAUCUCAUUUAAUAAAUAGUAAAAAGAGAUAAAUAAUAAAUCAAAAAAGAUAAAAAUAAUAAUUAAAAAUUGAAAUACAUUAGAGUGAAGAUUGUUUUUAAAAAUAAUUUAUCUAUGGAUCUGAUUACAAAAGAAUGAACAAAAAAUGUUUUUACUGUUUUCUCAACGAGGAAUUUGAUUUAUGAACUCACGUUGUUUUAGUGUUAUAUUUUAUUUAUGGAUCUGUUUUACAAGGUUUAGAAAGAUUUCCCUAUAUUUGUUAUGUUGCAGCAAUGUGCUGCCAUAAUCUUGAAAAUUGCAAAGAUUGAACAAAAGAAGUUUAAUUGUCUAAGACCUCCAGUGUAUAGUUGCGAAGUAGCUAGAUAAGUAAAUUUAUUUUUGAUUUGAUUGGCUUGUGUUAAUACAAGAUGCCAACUUGGAAAAGAAGUACGAUGUGAUUAUGAAAGUCCUUUUUGUAAUGCAGAUUGAGCUAAUAUCCUGGGUUACAAAAGUUGGACUCUUUUCUGUUGUCUCAGGUUAUCCUAUAACGCUUCUUGAAUUUUAGCUUGCUGUCACCAUUAAAUAUUAGGAAUAUUCUUUUUAUAAGAAGUUUAUAGAUUUUGAUUUCUAAGGCUUCUUUAAUAUCAUAACUGUUUAUUA